rnacentral:misc_RNA from 1 species
UCUCCUUUACCACUCUCUGUCAUGUUCAUAGAUUAUUGUCACAAAUGGAAGCAACACAGCAGUCAAUACUAAAGGCAGAAAACAUAAGCAAACAUCUAAACCAUUUCCAUUUCAUGAACCCCUAUCCCUUCCCCCAGAAAAGUGGGGAAACAACUUCUAAUAACAAAUAUUUUCAAUUGCCUACAUCAAGUAUAGAGAAGAAACAAUUUACAAGGAUAUACCAACCAUAUAUGCCCGCAGUUUCAAUUUAAAAAUACAGGAUUCUUCAUUUCCAUAUCACAAUAACAAGCAAUGAUUAAGUAGUAAUGCAAGAAUAGUUCAAUUACCGAUAGACUUAGAAACCAAUUUUACGUCAAAAGAUUUUACAAGUUGGUAAGCGAAGACUCAAGACUGUGAUUAAUCAGUUGAUGCUCUUCAUCAGCAAGUAAAAUAACCAAAAACGGGCCAUGGGGAUCAACAGCCAAAACAGGGAAAAGAUACAAACAGAAAGAGGAGCGAGAAAGCGAAACAGGUUAGAUUCCACUGAGUGCACACAGCAGAACAAAGCAGGAGUGGGUAAACUGUCUGUG